CAAGAGCAUUGAGUGUACCUACGCCGAACUUACGGCUCUCUGUGGUGCCCCGGCUCUGAUGACCACGGUCACCCUCUUCGUCACCUUCUUUGUCACCAUCUUUAACGUGUAAUUAUACUCUAAAACAGAGAUGCACGCUUAUCAACACUACACAGCCGAAUGCAGGGCACAUAUCACCUGAGGCUUGAAGGUCGCCUGCUGUUUGCACACGGGACAUGGAAACAUGGAUGCAACAGGACAGAGGACACUUGGACACAGUCAAACUGGAAUCAGAGAGGACACAGAACAUACAGAAGCUGACAGGUUACAGAACAUAGGACAUAACGAAACGGGACAUACAGAGCAGGAGACGGUUCAGGACAGGACAUACAGAGGACAUGGUACAGGACAAUGGAAUAGCGAAACAGGACAUACCGAGCAGGAGACGGUUCAGGACAGGACAUACAGAGGACAUGGUACGGGACAGAGGACAUCGUACAAGCAAGAUGACAUACAGAGGGCAGAGGACAUGGUACAGGGCAGAGGACAUACAGAGGACAGGUGUAGGGCAGAGGACAUGGUACAGGGCAGAUGACAUACAGAAGACAGGUGUAGGGCAGAGGACAUGGUACAGGGCAGAUGACAUACAGAGGACAGGUGAAGGGCAGAGGACAUGGUACAGGGAAGAUGACAUACAGAGGACAGGUGAAGGACCGAGGACAUGAUACAGGACCGAGGACAUACAGACCCGUACAUGGUAAAGGACAGAGGACUGGUACAGGACGGAGGACAUACAGAGGACAGGUGAAGGGCAGAGGACGUACAAGAACAGCCAUACAUGACAUUAAGAGUAGUACAUGGUACAGGGCAGAGGGCAGGUACAGGACAGAGGACAUACAGAGCGAAUAUGGUGUUGUCCAAAGGGCAUACAGAGAAGUAGGGGACAUUGCGCAAUACACAGCACAUACACAAGCGGACAGGGUAGACGACACAGACAUACAAAAACGCAGUCUGUGUACAGGACAUACAGAUGAUGUCUUGGAGCAAUACACAGGACUGACAGAGGCUGACACGUUACAGGACAUACAAAAGUUUCCAUUGAGCAGGACACGGAACACACAGUGGCCUUGUAGAGGACAGAGGACAUACACAUGGAACGAGAAACAGGGGCCAUUAGAGACUAGACUCGGGGCUGCAUCAUUUUAUUCAGUUGCAUAAAUAUGGAUAUUCCUGGUUUCGAAAGAUUUUGUCCAUAUUUACUCCGUAUCUUUUAAGUCCGCAUUAUUGUACUAUCAAACUGUUCUCAACACGCAUUUGUUGGCAUUCGCACAAACGUGUCGUGAGGACGUUCUAGAAGCC